rnacentral:ncRNA from 1 species
CUACGGGUUUCGUGUCGUGGUUCUUCUGUUUCCAUCUGCCGGAAGCAGAAGCUAAGAGGGAAUCCGGUGCGUCUGCCGACCAUGCCGGAGCUGCCCCCGCAACUGUGAGCGGCGAGCCAUCAUCCGAUUUGCGUCACUGGUGCCGGAACGGCAUCGGGAAGGCCAGGACGGAGGCGACGACCCGCAAGCCAGGAGACCUGCCACGGCCGUCGAACGUCCU